GCUCUUUGGAAGCAAAUUUCCAAUCCCUGCUCACUUCUUGCCCCCAACGCUUUUGCUCUUUGACAUUGCUUGCUGCCAUCCUGCCUUCAACCUCAAAUCAGGUUUCUGCCUGUGAUUCAAUCUCUGGCUCCCUAUGAGAAAUCUUUUUUAUAUAAAAUUAAUAUAUAAAUAAAUUUGCUCUUGGAGAGAUGCAGUGUGGAACAGAACCUGCCAGGCUCUCUAACGUCCAUCACAAAGAAAGACUGCAGAGGGGAGGGGGAAGGCAGAGCUUUAUCCUCCAUAGGGAAGCAGAGAAUUCAUAGUGAUCUUAUUGCAGAUGUAAAAUUAGGUCAGCGGCUCUGUAAACUGAUUAAAGCUCAUGCUUCACGCUUCCAAGGAAAACAGCCAAUACAAAAGGGAAUGAUCCCUGGCUCAAGAUGAGAAGGAAGGAGAGCUCUCUAUGUUCGUAGUCCAGCCAUAUAGGAUGCUUGGCCAAAAUGAAGGUAUAGAAAAGGAACAACCAAAGAAAGAACAGGACAUACUGGAUCUUUCUGGGUAUCAUCAAACUUCUCCAUCCAAGAAUAAGGGACAGCAGCAUCUCUUUGACAUCCAUAGCCCAUUUCUGCUUUGCCAAUAUCACUUGUGCAUCUGGGGCCACCAAUGCAUCCUAUCCUAGCAAGUAUCAAUGGGAAUAAAGAAGAAACUUAGAAAACGACAAAAUUCAAGAAGAGCUGAAGCUCUGGAGCUAGCUUUGGUGGAGAAAGAAUGAUGCGGGAUGUUGGACUAAGCGAGAAAUGCAUAAGAAGCUGCUGAGUUUAACACAAAGCCAUAUAGAGGUCAUUUCUAUAGAGCACAAUAAAUACCAUUAUGUGUUAGACGGAUGGAUGGAUCACUUUUCUCCCCUUGCAAGGUAAGACAUUGUCAUGAAGAAGGUAAAGGACUGGGAUUCAGGAGUCUGGUCUAGCUCCUAACUAGCUGUGAGAUCUUGAGCAAGUCACUUCACAUCUCUGGGCUUUGGUUUUCUCACUGUGAAAAAUACAAGAUGAGCUCUAAAGCUCCUUGGAACACAAAGGUCAAGGAUGCUAGAGACUGGGGUGAUGACGGGAAAAUGCAGGAGAUGAUCAAUUCAGAAAGUCCUUAGAAAACAGGCAAGGGGUGAAUUCAAGCAUUUUGAUGAUCCCUACCAAUGUUACCACAGCCCUGCUUUGUCUAUGUGGAUUCAGUAGGGCCAGGAUGAAUCCUGGAAGUUUCCAAGUGGUACUACAGGAUCAUCUUCCCCUUAAGCAGGAGAUCCUGGUGAUGGCGCCCCAACAGCUGGCACCCUGGUCCCUGACUCAGCCUAACUCCCACAGCAGAGCUGGUCAGAAAAAACAAGCAUGCAGAUGAGGAGGGCAUGGACAAAUGAGGUCAUACCACAUGAAACUUCUAAACUCAGUGCCUAUGUAAAGCAAUGGUCAGUAAGGAAUUUUCCUCAUUGGCCUGCUUUGACAGGUCUGGAGAAAUACCAUGCUGAGGUCUUACCUUCCUCUGAGGCUGCUGCACACAUGCGCCACAGCCAAAGGCAGAUUCUGGCUCUAUCAGACCAAUUAUUUCACAGGACAUAAGAGUACCUAGUCUGAUGUUCCUUUCAUUUCCAUUACUAUCUCACUCAAUCACUUCUGAAUGUAGUGACAGGACUUGGCUUCCUUCCCUAGAGAACUCUGCUCACUGUCCAGUCCUUAUUGCCUUAAAGAAUUUUUUUUUUUUUUUUUACUAAUGGCUACAAUAUUUUUUCUCGCUUCACUUUAGGCCAUGGCUCCUGGUCCCUGCCAUCCCGGAAGAUGGUGACUAAUCCUUUUCUCUCAUUGAUAUGGUUACCCUGAAAGUAUUUAUAGACUGUGGUCACCUCCCCCACAGAGGCCUUUCUUCUGGGAGGAUAUAAAUUACUUCUUCAGUCAGUCCACUCAAGUUUGUUCUCCCAACCUUCAUAUCAUUUUUGUGGCCUUUCUUUUCUUUCUUCUACAUUUUAUUUCCCUCUUAAACUGUGGGGAUGUGAGCCACAGCUAACUUUCCAGAUGUGGUUAGAAUCUUCUUGGGUGAGGCAGAACCAUCCAGUUCUCCACCUCCACCCCCUCGCCACAGACCUUUCCUUUGAAAAUGGAAUUGGAAUUGCUGUGUGUACUAGUCUGUUUUCACACUGCUGAUACAGACAUACCUGAGAC
rnacentral:lncRNA from 1 species